rnacentral:tRNA from 1 species
GCGGCACUAGCUCAGUUGGUAGAGCGCAACCUUGCCAAGGUUGAGGUCACCGGUUCGAACCCGGUGUGCCGCUCCA